ACAGUUUUAAAUCCUCUGUACAUUAUUCUAAUUUCUUGUCUGGUGAAUUUGGUUAAUUUACAAAGAUCUUCAAGAGCAACUGGUACUGGCUUUGGUACUCUGGACGGUUCUAUUUCAAACAUAACCUCUUCGACGGGACUUUCUGAAGGAGUAGCCAUCUUAGAUAGGGUAUGGUUCAGUUGGUGGCUUUUGGAAAAACCUGAAAAUAAAUUUGAAAAUUUAACUAUAGCGCUCACAGAUAACUCCUAUAUGUCGAUGGGACAAAACUAAGAGAGGUUUAUAGGAGAUUGAAUACUUAACGUCAGGAGAUUUGUAAUAUGUCAGUAGUAUACGAUGUGUUUGAGAAAAUAAGACUGACAUACCUGCAAAUAAUCAGACAACGUUCCGGCCUGUAAAAGUACCCGACAUUUGUGAACUCUACGAUUGCAUGUGUGGAAUACAUAAUCAUCAGAUUAUAGACAUUAUUGAAAACAUGAUUCUUGACAAAUUGUAAACCUCCACAGGAAACGAUAACUUAGACAGUUGAAGCUAUAAGCAUAAAAAAUAUUCUGUAAUAUUUAAUAAAAAAAGUAAGAGAGCUCCAGCAAAAACUGUUUACUCUUCAAAAAUUUGAAAAACAACACAUUAAAACAAUUGUUGGGUAGUCCAAAGGGUAAAAUAUCAAAGUUGGAGAAGAUUUGUGGUGAUUAUGACGGUAGGUAUAUUGGACAAACUAAGAUAUCCGAUAUUGUUCGAUUUAAGGAGCACAUAGCUUAUUUAAAAUAUGGAUGGACCGAAAAAUCGAGUAUUACCGAUCACGCUACCAGUCAUCAUUAUGACAUAAGUAUUAAUAAUGUAAUAAAUGUUCAAAAAUGUAUCCAAUAAUAAAUUGUUUGAUGCAUUUGGAAGCAUUGAAGUUGUUAAAUGUAAUGAAAGCUUGAAUAAGCACAAAGAGCCAAUUCAUUACUGCCCACUCUAUAGUUUAGUAGUCAAAGAAUAAAUGUUAAGAGGUUUACCUACUGGAAUUAAUUUUCGUGGGACAAGGUUUAUUAGUGGGAAAAUUCAGUAUAAAACAGGUACGUCAAGAAAUUAGAUUUUAGUUUACCUCCAGUCUCUGAAGACGAUAACUUGGUUAUUGAAACGCGCGUCAGAUAAUGUAAUGGUUAGUAUUGGUGGUAGUGGUAGUGUGAAUAGUGUGUUCAGCCUAAAAUAUGACGAUUGGGGAAAACUUACGUCUAUACCAAGUUGAAUCCCCGAGGGCUUCACAGUUGGUUCCAAAAUUUCGAAAACAAUUAUUUUCUUUGCAACUCAAAAAUACCAAAUUUGGUACACUGUACUAGAGUGUUGAGGGCAUUAAGUUGGUAAGUAGAAGGCGAUAGAAUGAUUCUGGGGUGUUGAUUAAAGAUGAUCUAUUGUUAAAAUUUCACAGAAGUUUCUAAUCUGCCGGUUGAUUUAUAUAUGAAAGUUUCUGUACUCUGUACUCAAAGAAAUUUUCAUUUUUAACGAAAAAUCGAGUAACCAUAGACAUGUUUUCAACAAUUUUAUUUGAAAAAAAGUCUAGAGUUGACUAUGAAUUCGUACAUCACAUUUAAUGAUUUGUAAUUCGGUUCUUGUAGUUAUUGAAUUGUUAUAAUUUCUUCAAUGUUUCUUGAGGAAAUGUAAAGGAAUGUGAGGAACCACGCGACUAGGAAGCCUUUACGCUUCUUCUACAGUUUCCUUCACAAAAACCUAACAACAAUAACAUAUAUCUACUUGUUUCCUUAAUGUGUAUUCCCACUUAAUAAAAAAAGCUUUAACAAUUCAUUACAGGAAGAACUGAAUUGUACAUUAUCAAAAGAGGUGUUUAAAUUCAUAGGUAACGCUUGAAUUUUUAGUAACUGUUUCAACAAUAUUGAAAAUAUGUCCUUAGUUUCUGAAUUUUCCAUGACAAAGUUUCAUGAGAAAAUAUGAAAGUGAAAAAAGGUUUAGAAUUGAAUUCUAAUCUGAAAAAUGAAUUAACCCCCAAAAAUUGGUCGAUCGACUUCAACUUGCCAUUACUUAAUGCCCUUAACUUUUUAAUACGAAGUCAGGCUAAUAAAUAACGAGACUGGUUAUGAAAAAGGGUUUUAUUAUAAAAAUUAUUCUAUAAUCGAAUGCUUUUGUCAUGUGUAAUUCCUCAUGUGAAAUUUUUCUAACAGUUUUAAAAAAUGCCAGUGCAUCCUAGAUUAAUUAUGCAUUAACGUGCAAACUUAAAUUUCCAACGUAAUCGCAGAGAAAAUGUAGAAAAAAAUAUUUUUUUAAUGUAAAUAAACAAUGUUGAAUAUUU